GGCAUUUUAGUCUUCAUGGAUAUACUUGUGAGGAUUAAAAGAGACAACCUCUGCUGGGGUGUUUAAAGGUCAGUGCUGUAGAUACUCAGCAUCUGGCAUCUUGGCUUCCUGCUUGUUAAACCUAGUAUUUCUACUGAUAGAGUA
rnacentral:snoRNA from 1 species